rnacentral:rRNA from 1 species
UACAGAGGUCCCAAGCGUUGUUCGGAUUCACUGGGCGUAAAGGGUGCGUAGGUGGCGAGGUAAGUCGGAUGUGAAAGCUCGGAGCUCAACUCCGAAAUGGCAUUGGAAACUACCUUGCUUGAGGGUUGGAAGGGGGACUGGAAUUCUCGGUGUAGCAGUGAAAUGCGUAGAUAUCGAGAGGAACACCAGGUGGCGAAGGCGAGUCCCUGGACAAUACCUGACACUGAGGCACGAAAGCUAGGGGAGCAAACAGG